UACGUAUGGUGCAAGCGUUUUCCGGAAUGACUGGGUGUAAAGGGAGCGUAGACGGUUGUUCAAGUCUGAUGUGAAAGCCCUCGGCUUAACUGGGGGAGUGCAUUGGAAACUGAAGGACUAGAGUAUCGGAGAGGCAAGUGGAAUUCCUAGUGUAGCGGUGAAAUGCGUAGAUAUUAGGAGGAACACCAGUGGCGAAGGCGGCUUGCGGGACGAAAACUGACGUUGAGGCUCGAAAGCGUGGGGAGCAAACAGG
rnacentral:rRNA from 1 species